GAUGAACGCUAGCUACAGGCUUAACACAUGCAAGUCGAGGGGUAGCACGGAGGAAGCUUGCUUCCUUGGGUGACGACCGGCGCACGGGUGAGUAACGCGUAUCCGACCUACCCAUAACUCGGGCACAGCCGCUCGAAAGAGUGAUUGAUUCCCGAUAUGUCCUUGGAGUAGAUUCAAUGAUGAAAGAUUUAUCGGUUAUGGAUGGGGAUGCGUAAGAUUAGGUAGUAGGCGGGGUAACGGCCCACCUAGCCGACGAUCUUUAGGGGUUCUGAGAGGAAGGUCCCCCACACUGGUACUGAGACACGGACCAGACUCCUACGGGAGGCAGCAGUGAGGAAUAUUGGUCAAUGGGCGGAAGCCUGAACCAGCCAAGUAGCGUGAAGGAUUACAGCCCUACGGGUUUUAAACUUCUUUUAUAUAAGAGUAAUGUGCACUACGUGUAGUGUAUUGCAAGUAUUAUAUGAAUAAGCAUCGGCUAACUCCGUGCCAGCAGCCGCCGUAAAAC
rnacentral:rRNA from 1 species